rnacentral:rRNA from 1 species
UACGAAGGGGGCUAGCGUUGUUCGGAAUUACUGGGCGUAAAGCGCGCGCAGGCGGCUCUUCAAGUCAGGGGUGAAAGCCCAGAGCUCAACUCUGGAACUGCCUUUGAGACUGAAGAGCUUGAGUACGGGAGAGGUGAGUGGAAUUCCCAGUGAUAGAGGUGAAAUUCGUAGAUAUUGGGAAGAACACCGGUGGCGAAGGCGGCUCACUGGCUCGUAACUGACGCUCAUGCACGACAGCGUGGGGAUCAAACAGG